rnacentral:rRNA from 1 species
GGCGAGUGAACCGGGAAGAGCUCAAAUUUGAAAUCUGGCGUGCUCAGUGCGUCCGAGUUGUAAUCUAUAGAGUCGUUUUCCGUGCCGGACUGUGUCCAAGUCCCUUGGAACAGGGUAUCAAAGAGGGUGAUAAUCCCGUACUUGACACAAUGACCGGUGCUCUGUGAUACGUCUUCUACGAGUCGAGUUGUUUGGGAAUGCAGCUCAAAAUGGGUGGUGAGUUCCAUCUAAAGCUAAAUAUUGGCGAGAGACCGAUAGCGAACAAGUACCGUGAGGGAAAGAUGAAAAGCACUUUGGAAAGAGAGUUAAACAGUACGUGAAAUUGUUAAAAGGGAAACGAUUGAAGUCAGUCGUGACUGAGAGGCUCAGCCGGUUCUGCCGGUGUAUUCCCCUCAGUCGGGUCAACAUCAGUUUUGUUCGGUGGAUAAGGGCAGUUGGAAGGUGGCACCCUCGGGUGUGUUAUAGCCAGCUGUCGCAUACAUCGGAUGAGACUGAGGAAUGCAGCUCGCCUUUAUGGCCGGGGUUCGCCCACGUUCGAGCUUAGGAUGUUGACAUAAUGGCUUUAAACGACC